AUAGAGGCCUACCAUGGUGGUAACGGGUAACGGGGUGUUAGGGCACGACACCGGAGAGGGAGCCUGAGAAACGGUUACCACAUCCAAGGAUGGCAGCAGGCGCGCAAAUUACCCAAUCCCGACACGGGGAGGUAGUGACAAUAAAUAACAAUACGGGGUUCUUUAGGAUCUCGUAAUUGGAAUGAGUACAAUUUAAAUCUCUUAACGAGGAACAAUUGGAGGGCAAGUCUGGUGCCAGCAGCCGCGGUAAUUCCAGCUCCAAUAGCGUAUAUUAAAGUUGUUGCAGUUAAAAAGCUCGUAGUUGAAUUUCGGGGUUAGUAGGUUGGUCAUGCCUCUGGUAUGUACUGGUCUCACUGAUUCCUCCUUCCUUAUGAACCGUAAUGCCAUUAAUUUGGUGUUGCGGGGAAUUUGGACUGUUACUUUGAAAAAAUUAGAGUGUUUAAAGCAAGCUAACGCUUGUAUACAUUAGCAUGGAAUAAUGAAAUAGGACGUUCGAUCUUAUUUUGUUGGUUUCUAGGAUUGACGUAAUGAUUAAUAGGGAUAGUUGGGGGCAUUAGUAUUCAAUUGUCAGAGGUGAAAUUCUUGGAUUUAUUGAAGACUAACUACUGCGAAAGCAUUUGCCAAGGAUGUUUUCAUUAAUCAAGAACGAAAGUUAGGGGAUCGAAGACGAUCAGAUACCGUCGUAGUCUUAACCAUAAACUAUGCCGACUAGGGAUCGGAUGA
rnacentral:rRNA from 1 species